GCAGUCGAGCGGUAACAGAUCGUAGCUUGCUACACGCUGACGAGCGGCGGACGGGUGAGUAAUGCAUAGGAAUCUGCCCGGUAGUGGGGGAUAACCUGGGGAAACCCAGGCUAAUACCGCAUACGUCCUACGGGAGAAAGGGGGCUUCGGCUCCCGCUAUUGGAUGAGCCUAUGUCGGAUUAGCUAGUUGGUGAGGUAAAGGCUCACCAAGGCGACGAUCCGUAGCUGGUCUGAGAGGAUGAUCAGCCACAUCGGGACUGAGACACGGCCCGAACUCCUACGGGAGGCAGCAGUGGGGAAUAUUGGACAAUGGGGGCAACCCUGAUCCAGCCAUGCCGCGUGUGUGAAGAAGGCCUUCGGGUUGUAAAGCACUUUCAGCGAGGAAGAACGCCUGGUGGUUAAUACCCGUCAGGAAAGACAUCACUCGCAGAAGAAGCACCGGCUAACUCCGUGCCAGCAGCCGCGGUAAUACGGAGGGUGCAAGCGUUAAUCGGAAUUACUGGGCGUAAAGCGCGCGUAGGUGGCUUGAUAAGCCGGUUGUGAAAGCCCCGGGCUCAACCUGGGAACGGCAUCCGGAACUGUCAGACUAGAGUGCAGGAGAGGAAGGUAGAAUUCCCGGUGUAGCGGUGAAAUGCGUAGAGAUCGGGAGGAAUACCAGUGGCGAAGGCGGCCUUCUGGACUGACACUGACACUGAGGUGCGAAAGCGUGGGUAGCAAACAGGAUUAGAUA
rnacentral:rRNA from 1 species